GGGGAUCUAGCUCAUCGGUAGAGCGCUCCCUUAGCACGUCACAGCUUGUGACCCGCUUGGGAGAGGCGCCGGGUUCGACUCCCUGGUUCUCCA